AUACGUAGGGGGCGAGCGUUGUCCGGAAUGACUGGGCGUAAAGGGCGUGUAGGCGGCGCCGUAAGUCUGGAGUGAAAGUCCUGUUUUCAAGGGGGGAAUUGCUUUGGAUACUGCGGAGCUUGAGUGCGGAAGAGGUAAGUGGAAUUCCCAGUGUAGCGGUGAAAUGCGUAGAGAUUGGGAGGAACACCAGUGGCGAAGGCGGCUUAAGGGGCCGUAACUGACGCUGAGGCGCGAAAGCGUGGGGAGCGAACAGGAUUAGAUACCCUGGUAGUCCACGCCGUAAACGAUGGGCGCUCGUCGUCGGCGACAGACAGUCGGCGGCCAAGCGAAAGCGAUAAGCGCCCCACCUGGGGAGUACGGUCGCAAGGCUGAAACUUAAAUGAAUUGGCGGGG
rnacentral:rRNA from 1 species